rnacentral:rRNA from 1 species
UGCAAGUCGAACGCGAACGGGGCGUCGGCCCCAAGUAGAGUGGCGCACGGGUGAGUAACGCGUGGACAAUCGUGCCCUUAUGACUGGAAUAACAGUUGGAAACGGCGUGCGUAAUACCGGAUACGCUCAGGAAGAACUUUUUGAGGAAAGGCGGCCUCUGCUUGCAAGCUGUCGCAUAAGGAUGAGUCCGCGUCCCAUUAGCUAGUUGGCGGGUAACGGCCCACCAAGGCAACGAUGGGUAGCCGAUUUGAGAGGAUGAUCGGCCACACUGGGACUGAAACACGGCCCAGACUCCUACGGGAGGCAGCAGUGGGGAAUAUUGCGCAAUGGGCGAAAGCCUGACGCAGCGACGCCGCGUGAGGGAUGAAGGUUUUCGGGAAUCGUAAACCUCUGUCAGAAGGGAAGAAACUGCCGUGCUCUAAUCAUCAUGGCAUUGACGGUACCUUCAAAGGAAGCACCGGCUAACUCCGUGCCAGCAGCAGC